rnacentral:rRNA from 1 species
GAUGAACGCUGGCGGUAUGCCUAACACAUGCAAGUCGUACGAGAGUUUUUAACUCUAGUGGCGGACGGGUGAGUAACACGUGAGAAUUUGCCUUUAGGAGGGGGAUAACAAUUGGAAACGAAUGCUAAUACCCCAUAUGCUUUUGAGUGAAACGGAUUUAUCCGCCUAGAGAGAAGCUCGCGGCUGAUUAGCUUGUUGGUAAGGUAAGAGCUUACCAAGGCGACGAUCAGUAUCUGGUUUGAGAGGACGAUCAGACACACUGGAACUGAGACACGGUCCAGACUCCUACGGGAGGCAGCAGUGGGGAAUUUUCCGCAAUGGGCGAAAGCCUGACGGAGCAAUACCGCGUGAGGGAAGACUGCCUAUGGGUUGUAAACCUCUUUUUUCAGGGUAGGAAUAAAAUGACGUGUACCUGAAGAAUAAGCAUCGGCUAACUCCGUG